rnacentral:rRNA from 1 species
GACGAACCACACAAACGUUAUUCGGAAUUACUGGGCUUAAAGGGUGCGUAGGCUGUGCAGCAAGUUAGGUGUGAAAUCCCCCGGCUCAACCGGGGAAUUGCGCUUAAAACUACUGUGCUAGAGGAAGACAGAGGUGAGCGGAACUUCGGGUGGAGCGGUGAAAUGCGUUGAUAUCCGAAGGAACACCGGUGGCGAAAGCGGCUCACUGGGUCUUUUCUGACGCUGAUGCACGAAAGCUAGGGGAGCAAACGGG